CAGUAAUCCAUAUAGGUGUGGAAAAGGUACAGGACGGCAGACAGGCUCAGUGUCAGGGUAGGCAGAGGUCAGUAAACCAGAUAGGUGGGGCAAAGGUACAGGACGGCAUGCAGGCUCAGGGUCAGGGUAGGCAGAGGUCAGUAAACCAGAUAGGUGGGGCAAAGGUACAGGACGGCAGACAGGCUCAGGGUCAGGGUAGGCAGAGGUCAGUAAACCAGAUAGGUGGGGCAAAGGUACAGGACGGCAGACAGGCUCAGGGUCAGGGUAGGCAGAGGUCAGUAAACCAGAUAGGUGGGGCAAAGGUACAGGACGGCAGGCAGGCUCAGGGUCAGGGUAGGCAGAGGUCAGUAAACCAGAUAGGUGGGGC
ensembl:lncRNA